rnacentral:rRNA from 1 species
CCUACGGGAGGCAGCAGUGGGGAAUAUUGCACAAUGGGCGCAAGCCUGAUGUAGCGACGCCGCGUGAGUGAUGAAGGUCUUCGGAUCGUAAAACUCCUUUCGACCGGGACGAUAAUGACGGUACCGGUGGAAGAAGCCCCGGCUAACUCCGUGCCAGCAGCCGCGGU